CAUUUUGUUUACCCAAAAAUUCUUUAAAGUCAUUAGCCAACUGUAUAAUUCAAGCAACAGCUAGUUUGGCUGGUAAAAAAGUUAUUUGAGAAAGAAAAUACAAAUAAAUACCAUUUAAAUUUACGUCAUUUAAUGAUUAAAAAUUCAAUUCGGAGAAGAUUUGGCAAACAAGUUCGUGAAAGUUGCCGCCGUCUGGGUGACGCCAAAAAUCCCAACUGGCGGCGAUACGCAGAAAAAUACAAAAACAGAAAAUAUCAAAAAUACAAAAUAAAUAACAAAAACAACAACAAUCCAAAACAAAACCAAAAAAUUUUCAACAAAAAAUUCAAAUUUAUUGAAAUCAAAAAUUAAAGACAGCAAAGGAGAAGAAGCGUCACACAGCCACACAAACAUACUAACACAUAUGCUUAUAAAAAGUGGGCAAAAACUUUUGUGGAUUGAUCGUUGGCUAAAAUAUGUGUACCAAACUAGUUAGUUUGCGGCUAUUGGCCUCUUUCGCCGCGUUCAGGGUCGCCGGCAGCGUUGGGGCAAACCCAGUCCAUCUAGCACGCCGCGCAGCAGCACAAAACAUUUCAAAACAACACUGCGCUAACAACGGUCCGAGAAGUAACGGCUUACCUGGCGUGGCGUAAAAAAUUUUAACUUUGAUAAAUAAAUUAAAAUUUGACAAAAAAUAAAUUCGAAAAAAAAAAUUGUAAAUAGGACAAAAAAUAUUUUGCUUGCAUGCAGUUAGUGUCGCAGAUUUUUUGAUACGAGUAGAAAAACUGAAAUUUAACAUGCAGAAGUCAAACCCACAAAUGGUGUCGACCGGUGCUAUUAUCACAUAUGUUAGGUUGUGUGAUUUGGCAUAUAAAGACCACUUUUCUGCUUUUGGUUAUAUAACUAUUCUUCCUGGAUCUACAGUCCAACUAGCAUAAAGUUGAAAGUAAAUUGAAAGCAGCUUUAUAUUUUAAAGUCUUGGAUGGUAUUAUUUUUUUUAAGCCUAACGAACACAGUUGACCAUAAUCUGUUCAUAUUAAAUUUGAGAAGUGGCGAAUGGAAAACAUGGUGAAAACAUUGCAAACUGCUGAUAAAUAUAUAAAUUGCAACUGAAUUGCAAUUGAAAAAACCAUAGGCCGAUUCUUAAUUUGACUAAUAUUAGAGUAACAAAAUUGUUGAGGCGGCAAACUUUUCUAAAAAUGCACUAGCGUUUGCUGCAGUUUUGCCUAACACUGUAUAUAUCUAGAUGUUCAUACGUUUGUGUUGAUUAAAACCUAUAGGUAUAUUUUCUAUUUUUUUUUGUAUAAUCAAAUAUAUUUUUAGAAUACAAAUCAAAUUAAUGAUGCUGUCACCAACAAUUUAAAAAUUAUUAUUAUAUUUUUACUCAUACCUAUAUUCUUUGAAUGCAUAUUUAUAUGUAUGUACUUCGUAUAUAAACGUUUUAAAAAUAAAUACAAUUUUUUCGUAUAC